AGUGGCGCACGGGUGCGUAACGCGUGGGAACCUGCCUUUAGGUUCGGAGUAACAGUUAGAAAUGACUGCUAAUACCGGAUAAUGUCUUCGGACCAAAGAUUUAUGCCUUUAGAUGGGCCCGCGUUGGAUUAGAUAGUUGUGGGGUAAUGGCCUACCAAGUCGACGAUCCAUAGCUGGUCUGAGAGGAUGAUCAGCCACACUGGGACUGAGACACGGCCCAGACUCCUACGGGAGGCAGCAGUGGGGAAUAUUGGACAAUGGGCGAAAGCCUGAUCCAGCAAUGCCGCGUGAGUGAUGAAGGCCUUAGGGUUGUAAAGCUCUUUUACCAGGGAUGAUAAUGACAGUACCUGGAGAAUAAGCUCCGGCUAACUCCGUG
rnacentral:rRNA from 1 species